GAAAACGCACAAAGACAAUCAUCAUCCUCGGUUACCAAGAGACUACUACUACUACACAUAAUAUCUUAUUUGACCCUUCCAACAACCAUGUGCAGUAACUACUACUAUUAACCCCUUUUUUAGAUUAAGCUAAAGCUGAGACUUCAAGUGACUUGCCCAAGCUCACCCAGUAAAGAAACUUGUCUGAGCCAGCAUGCAGAUCCUGGUCUUCCUGACUCCAGAUACUGACAUUGGGACCUUGUCAAGUUUCUUAACUUGUCAGCACAGCAAUCAACUCUUCAAGACAACAAAUUCCAGAGUAGUUACGGAUUGGCUCUGGUAGACAAGAAUUUCUUCACAGGAAAAUCUCAACAUCAAUAAAAUCCCAGGUAAUGACUAUUAUUUUCA
rnacentral:lncRNA from 1 species